rnacentral:rRNA from 1 species
GACGAACGCUGGCGGCGUGCUUAACACAUGCAAGUCGAACGGAAAGGCCCUGCUUUUGUGGGGUGCUCGAGUGGCGAACGGGUGAGUAACACGUGAGUAACCUGCCCUUGACUUUGGGAUAACUUCAGGAAACUGGGGCUAAUACCGGAUAGGAGCUCCUGCUGCAUGGUGGGGGUUGGAAAGUUUCGGCGGUUGGGGAUGGACUCGCGGCUUAUCAGCUUGUUGGUGGGGUAGUGGCUUACCAAGGCUUUGACGGGUAGCCGGCCUGAGAGGUUGACCGGCCACAUUGGGACUGAGAUACGGCCCAGACUCCUACGGGAGGCAGCAGUGGGGAAUAUUGCACAAUGGGCGGAAGCCUGAUGCAGCAACGCCGCGUGCGGGAGGACGGCCUUCGGGUUGUAAACCGCUUUCGCCUGUGACGAAGCGUGAGUGACGGUAAUGGGUAAAGAAGCACCGGCUAACUACGU